rnacentral:rRNA from 2 species
GCAACCUCAAUUUAAGCAAGAUUACCCGCUAAACUUAAGCAUAUCAGUAAGCGGAGGAAAAGAAACUAACUAGGAUUU